rnacentral:rRNA from 1 species
CGGCGGACGGGUGAGUAAUGUCUGGGAAACUGCCUGAUGGAGGGGGAUAACUACUGGAAACGGUAGCUAAUACCGCAUAACGUCGCAAGACCAAAGAGGGGGACCUUCGGGCCUCUUGCCAUCAGAUGUGCCCAGAUGGGAUUAGCUAGUAGGUGGGGUAAUGGCUCACCUAGGCGACGAUCCCUAGCUGGUCUGAGAGGAUGACCAGCCACACUGGAACUGAGACACGGUCCAGACUCCUACGGGAGGCAGCAGUGGGGAAUAUUGCACAAUGGGCGCAAGCCUGAUGCAGCCAUGCCGCGUGUAUGAAGAAGGCCUUCGGGUUGUAAAGUACUUUCAGCGAGGAGGAAGGCAUUGUGGUUAAUAACCACAGUGAUUGACGUUACUCGCAGAAGAAGCACCGGCUAACUCCGUGCCAGCAGCCGCGGUAAUACGGAGGGUGCAAGCGUUAAUCGGAAUUACUGGGCGUAAAGCGCACGCAGGCGGUCUGUCAAGUCGGAUGUGAAAUCCCCGGGCUCAACCUGGGAACUGCAUUCGAAACUGGCAGGCUAGAGUCUUGUAGAGGGGGGUAGAAUUCCAGGUGUAGCGGUGAAAUGCGUAGAGAUCUGGAGGAAUACCGGUGGCGAAGGCGGCCCCCUGGACAAAGACUGAC